rnacentral:rRNA from 1 species
CCUACGGGUGGCAGCAGUGGGGAAUAUUGGACAAUGGGGGGAACCCUGAUCCAGCCAUGCCGCGUGUGUGAAGAAGGCCCUCGGGUUGUAAAGCACUUUCAGUGAGGAAGAACGCCUGGUGGUUAAUACCCAUCAGGAAAGACAUCACUCACAGAAGAAACACCGGCUAACUCCGUGCCAGCAGCCGCGGUAAUACGGAGGGUGCGAGCGUUAAUCGGAAUUACUGGGCGUAAAGCGCGCGUAGGUGGCUUGAUAAGCCGGUUGUGAAAGCCCCGGGCUCAACCUGGGAACGGCAUCCGGAACUGUCAAGCUAGAGUGCAGGAGAGGAAGGUAGAAUUCCCGGUGUAGCGGUGAAAUGCGUAGAGAUCGGGAGGAAUACCAGUGGCGAAGGCGGCCUUCUGGACUGACACUGACACUGAGGUGCGAAAGCGUGGGUAGCAAACAGGAUUAGAUACCCUAGUAGUC